rnacentral:rRNA from 1 species
UACGUAGGGGGCAGGCGUUGUCCGGAUUUAUUGGGCGUAAAGAGCGUGUAGGCGGCCAGGUAGGUCUGGUGUGAAAACUCGAGGCUUAACCUCGAGAUGUCAUCGGAAACCAUCUGGCUAGAGUCCGGAAGAGGAGAGUGGAAUUCCUGGUGUAGCGGUGAAAUGCGCAGAUAUCAGGAAGAACACCAAUGGCGAAAGCAGCUCUCUGGGACGGUACUGACGCUGAGACGCGAAAGCGUGGGGAGCGAACAGG